rnacentral:lncRNA from 1 species
ACACGCCGCGAGCUAAGCAGAAAAGGGAGGCAGGCUGCCCCGACACCCCACUACUCACCGCUAGGUUUCCGUCUGGCGCCGAUCCGGCUGCGUCACGCCGGCCGAACGACACCCCGCUGAGUCGCCGCCGCAGGGAAGGUACCUUCGGCCCCAACGGGAAAAGCCAAUUUCCAGUAAUUCGCGCCCGACCACCGGGGAGUGAAUGUUUCCCUCUGAGGAUGAAGAUCACUAUAAACAACUCUGAUGAGAUCAUGCUGACACAAUGCCCCUUCUGUCAAAGCCAUGGAUCCAAUUGUUGAAGGCUACAAAAAUAAGG